AAAAAGCUCGUAGUUGAACUUCAGGCCUGGCCGGGUGGUCUGCCUCACGGUAUGCACUGUCUGGCUGGGUCUUACCUCUUGGUGAGCCAGCAUGCCCUUCACUGGGUGUGUUGGGGAACCAGGACUUUUACCUUGAGAAAAUUAGAGUGUUCAAAGCAGGCCUAUGCCCGAAUACAUUAGCAUGGAAUAAUAAAAUAGGACGUGCGGUUCUAUUUUGUUGGUUUCUAGAAUCGCCGUAAUGAUUAAUAGGGAUAGUUGGGGGCAUUAGUAUUCAGUUGCUAGAGGUGAAAUUAUUGGAUUUACUGAAGACUAACUACUGCGAAAGCAUUUGCCAAGGAUGUUUUCAUUAAUCAAGAACGAAGGUUAGGGGAUCGAAAACGAUCAGAUACCGUUGUAGUCUUAACAGUAAACUAUGCCGACUAGGGAUCGGGCGAACUCAAUCUUAUGUGUCGCUCG
rnacentral:rRNA from 1 species